GCCUAAAGCGUCCGUAGCCUGUUCUAUAAGUUUCCGGUUAAAUCCACUAGCUCAACUAAUGGGCUGCCGAAAAUACUGUAGAACUAGGGAGUGGGAGAGGUAGACGGUAUUCGGUAGGAAGGGGUAAAAUCCUUUGAUCUAUCGAGGACCACCUGUGGCGAAGGCGGUCUACCAGAACACGUUCGACGGUGAGGGAUGAAAGCUGGGGGAGCAAACCGGAUUAGAUACCCGGGUAGUCCCAGCUGUAAACGAUGCAGACUCGGUGAUGCGCUGGCUUGUGGCCAGUGCAGUGCCGCAGGGAAGCCGUUAAGUUUGCCGCCUGGGAAGUACGUACGCAAGUAUGAAACUUAAAGGAAUUGGCGGGGGAGCACCACAAGGGGUGAAGCCUGCGGUUCAAUUGGAGUCAACGCCAGAAAUCUUACCUGGGGAGACAGCAGAAUGAAGGUCAAGCUGAAGACUUUACCAGACAAGCUGAGAGGUGGUGCAUGGCCGUCGUCAGCUCGUGCCGUGAGAUGUCCUGUUAAGUCAGGUAACGAGCGAGAUCCCUGCUGCUAGUUGCUACCAUUACUCUCCGGAGUAGUGGGGCGAAUUAGCGGGACCGCCGCAGUUAAUGUGGAGGAAGGAAGGGGCCACGGCAGGUCAGUAUGCCCCGAA
rnacentral:rRNA from 1 species